rnacentral:tRNA from 1 species
GAGGGUAUAUCUCAGUGGUAAAGCACGUGCUUAGCAGGCACGAGGUCCUGGGUUCAAUCCCCAGCACCUCCA